UAUCAAGAGGUGUGCUAACCAUUAGGCCUCGUAUUCCAGGUCUACCUCCAGAUUGUGAGGUGCUACUUUGGACUUGAUGAACUCUUAUAGUAGGCAACAGAAACUCUUUACUGCAGAAAAACCGUAGUAGGUUUGAUGCUCAACAGAUUGCUGUUAGUUAGGAGGGAGUUAGUUAUAAGUUAAUAAUAAGUAUCCAUUGAUAUGUGUGACAAAACAUACCAACUGGUGUCAACAUCAGCUAGGCUAUGUUGGCAUUUUCUGAUGGUUCUUCAUGACUGAUCAUAAGGUACAAAAUAAAUAAUACAGAAAUACAGUGCUGGGCAUUGGUAGACAAUCAUAUUAAUCUGUCUAUGUAUCUAUUUCUUCUGUGUAAGCAGUUUCUUAUGGAUCCCCAGUUGCUGCCUCCUUCUGAAGCACAGGUUAUUAGAGAGGCUGAAAACCAGACUGGAACAGGCUCUUCAAAGGCAACCUCUGGACCUGGACUAUUUAGAGUUCCUCUGUACCAGUGAGUUGAGCCUAGUUCACUGAGUACUCACAUGCCAUUUCCAGAAGAGGUCAUAGGCAGACGGGAAAAGCAGGCCUUAAAAGAGGGCUACAGGAUACUAGGGUGCUCCCAAUGAUAACAGAACGGCCAGAACUGGCUAGAGUUCUGUUCCCACAAGGUGUCUCAUCUCUGAUGGAUCCUAAGAUGAUUUUGAAAAGAGUGGUUUGACCAGAUGAGGUGGAGGUUGACGAAGAUGAAAUGGAAGACUGCCGUCUCACAGCCUACCUCAGACAAUACGUUGCCGUGCCUACCUCAGACAAUACGUUGUAAGUGUUUCUUUAGAGACAUUGAAAGACCUGGUGGUCUUCUGGACGGGAUGGUCUGUUGGCAGGGGCAAUGCCGACUGUACUUUGAAACUCCCCCUAGGGACAAGAAUGUAUGACACCUUCAAAGAAGCUAUGAAUGCAGCGCUGAAAUAAAGCAAUUAUGGUUUUGGCUUGAUCUAGUGUUGUUUUCUGCAAGUUCAAUGCAGUAUAGUCAACAAUUUCAGUGUUUCAGACGGUGACCAGAGUUCCAGUUGUUCAAUGAAUAAACUAUGCAAUGAGAAA